UGAGACGACGGCAACCGCCUCGAUCAUUUGUCGAGUCAAAACAUUCAAAGUGUCGAUCGUAAUUCACCUCGGGUGCCUUCGUUUCUGUUCGCCCGCCAACAACAUCGCAGCAAACCUUCGUCUACUCGCAGUAACAACAUUGUUGACAGGUUGAUUCCAUCUCGUUCAGAAACGAAUAUGCAGUUGGCUCACAGCAUCGUUUGUCGCCCAUGUCACAUCUUCAUGCCGGAUAUCAUUACGACUUUGAGCAACAGGGCAGCCCCCAACAAAGCACGCCAAUUCUCAAGUUUGGCAAUUUUCUUGUGAAAGAAAAACCUAUGGCUUAUUUGGCUUGAGGUACGUCGCCUAAAUCCAAAUUUAAAAUCCCCACUUCACCCCAUCGAGUGAUGCCAGUCCUGCAACCUUUUAGAGAACAUGGUAACCAGAGCACUCACUGGGCGCCAUCAGACGAAUUCCUGGUGGCCAAAAAGAGAUGGAGUUACUGCGAGUGGACGAAGGUUUGCUGCGAUGUUGUUGGCGGGCGAACAGAAACGAUGGCACCCGAGGUGUUAUACAAUCGACACUUUGAAUGUUUUGACUCGACAAAUGAGGCGGUGCCGUCGUCUCACCGUCUA